GACGAACGCUGGCGGCGUGCCUAAUACAUGCAAGUCGAGCGAAUCUUGAGGUGCUUGCACCUCUUGGUUAGCGGCGGAGGGGUGAGUAACACGUGGGCAACCUGCCUGUAAGACUGGGAUAACUUCGGGAAACCGGAGCUAAUACCGGAUAAUCCUUUUCCUAUCAUGAGGACAAGCUGAAAGUCGGUUUCGGCUGACACUUACUGAUGGCACCGCGGCGCAUUAGCUAGUUGGUGAGGUAACGGCUCACCAAGGCGACGAUGCGUAGCCGACCUGAGAGGGUGAUCGGCCACACUGGGACUGAGACACGGCCCAGACUCCUACGGGAGGCAGCAGUAGGGAAUCUUCCGCAAUGGACGAAAGUCUGACGGAGCAACGCCGCGUGAGCGAUGAAGGCCUUCGGGUCGUAAAACUCUGUUGUUAGGGAAGAACAAGUACCGGAGUAACUGCCGGUACCUUGACGGUACCUAACCAGAAAGCCACGGCUAACUACGUGCCAGCCGCCGCGGUAAUAC
rnacentral:rRNA from 1 species